AACAACAAACUCAACCAUGCUUUCCAUCGGCGUCACCUGGUAAUUCCAUCACUUUGGUUAGAUGCUUUCUAUUAGAUGGGCAGUUUCGAAAGAAACUGAUUUAGAUGUAUGGAAGAUGAAAUUUCUUGUAAGAUGUAUCUCCAGCUAUUGAAUUAAGAAAAGCUUUUCUCUUUUCUUACCAAAACCUGAUAUAGUUGGUCAUUUUUCUUUCAACAUCC
rnacentral:snoRNA from 1 species